AUUGAACGCUGGCGGCAGGCCUAACACAUGCAAGUCGAGCGAGCGGCGGACGGGUGAGUAAUGUAUGGGGAACUGCCCGAUAGAGGGGGAUAACUACUGGAAACGGUGGCUAAUACCGCAUACUAUCGGAUGAACCCAUAUGGGAUUAGCUAGUAGGUGGGGUAAAGGCUCACAUAGGCGACGAUCUCGAGCUGGUCUGAGAGGAUGUUAAGCCAGACUGACAGUGAAUCACGGCACGUACUCCGACGGGAGGCAGCAGGGGGGAAUAUGGCACAAGGGGUGCAAGCCUGAUGCAGCCAUGCCGAGUGUAUGAAGAUGGCCUUAGGGUUAUAAAGUACUUUCAGAGUGGAGUCGUUACCCGCAGAAGAAGCACCGGCUAACUCCGUGCCAGCAGCCGCGGUAAUUC
rnacentral:rRNA from 1 species